GAGGCCAAAUUCAUAAAUUCCGAUGACAUUUUAAUCCACAUCAAGCAACUCUUCAAAAAAUUCACCUUAAGACCCGAAAACAUCUCAUAACCUUGAAAGGUAACCUUCAAGGUCCAGUGAUUUUCUAUUGUAGCUUUACCAACACAAAAAGUAUUGUCCACAUAUUGUAGAUGGGAAAUAAGAACAUUUUGACGACAGAUCUCAAAACCUUGAAAACGUUUUAUAUCAACU
rnacentral:lncRNA from 1 species